rnacentral:rRNA from 1 species
GUAAAAGUCGUAACAAGGUCUCCGUUGGUGAACCAGCGGAGGGAUCAUUACCGAGUUUUUACGCUCCAAACCCCAUGUGAACCUAUACCUACGCCGUUGCUUCGGCGGGCUUUCAAGCCCCGGGCAGCCGCCUCCCCCCCGACGCCCUCGCGCCUGGGAGGGGGAGGGCACCCGGAACCAGGCGCCCGCCGGAGGAUACAACCAAAAAAACUCUUGUGUUUUCCAAUGCAUGUCUGAGUGGAUUUUUGCAAAUCAAAAUGAAUCAAAACUUUCAACAACGGAUCUCUUGGUUCUGGCAUCGAUGAAGAACGCAGCGAAAUGCGAUAAGUAAUGUGAAUUGCAGAAUUCAGUGAAUCAUCGAAUCUUUGAACGCACAUUGCGCCCGCCAGUAUUCUGGCGGGCAUGCCUGUUCGAGCGUCAUUUCAACCCUCAAGCUCUGUCUUGCGCUUGGUGUUGGGGAUCGGCCCUGCCCGCCAGCCCGGGCGGGCCGCCCCCGAAAUGAAUCGGCGGUCUCGUCGCAGCCUCCUCUGCGUAGUAAUUCAGUUAUCCUCGCACUUGGAGCGCGGCGCGGCCACUGCCCGUAAAACGCCCAACUUCUCAAGAGUUGACCUCGAAUCAGGUAGGAAUACCCGCUGAACUUAAGCAUAUCAAUAAGCGGAGGAAAAGAAACCAACAGGGAUUGCCCCAGUAACG